rnacentral:rRNA from 1 species
GACGAACGCUGGCGGCGUGCUUAACACAUGCAAGUCGAACGGAAAGGCCUGCUUUCCCUUGUGGAUUGCGGGUACUCGAGUGGCGAACGGGUGAGUAACACGUGAGUGAUCUGCCCCCAACUUGGGUAUAAGCCUGGGAAACUGGGUCUAAUUCCCGAUAGGACUGCAGGGUGGUGCCUGUGGUGGAAAACGAUUUUCUAGUGGUUGGGGAUGAGCUCGCGGCCUAUCAGCUUGUUGGUGGGGUAAUGGCCUACCAAGGCGGCGACGGGUAGCCGGCCUGAGAGGGUGGACGGCAACAUUGGGACUGAGAGACGGCCCAGACUCCUACGGGAGGCAGCAGUGGGGAAUAUUGCACAAUGGGCGGAAGCCUGAUGCAGCGACGCCGCGUGGGGGAUGACGGCCUUCGGGUUGUAAACUCCUUUCGACCGCGAGGAAGCCACCUGGUUGGAAGGGUGGUGACGGUAGUGGUAGAAGAAGCACCGGCUAACUACGUG